rnacentral:rRNA from 1 species
UGCCAGCAGCCGCGGUAAUACAGAGGUCUCAAGCGUUGUUCGGAUUCAUUGGGCGUAAAGGGUGCGUAGGCGGCGGGGUAAGUCGGAUGUGAAAUCCCGGGGCUCAACCCCGGAACUGCAUUCGAUACUGCCUUGCUAGAGUACUGGAGAGGAGACUGGAAUUUACGGUGUAGCAGUGAAAUGCGUAGAUAUCGUAAGGAAGACCAGUGGCGAAGGCGAGUCUCUGGACAGUUACUGACGCUGAGGCACGAAGGCCAGGGGAGCAAACGGGAUUAGAUA